UGUGGGAGCGGGCUUGUUCGCGAAGGGGCCGUUUCAGCCGGCAUUAGUGUUGGCUGGUCCACCGCAUUCGCGAGCAAGCCCGCUCCCACA
rnacentral:misc_RNA from 1 species